rfam:Myotis davidii contig162427, whole genome shotgun sequence.
GGCAGUUCUUGAGUGACGCACCCCAGAAUUGGGCUCCCUCCUCUCUGGUUCCAGUGGGUCACCUGAGAACCGCA